GACGAACGCUGGCGGCGUGCUUAACACAUGCAAGUCGAGCGGUAAGGCCCUUUCGGGGGUACACGAGCGGCGAACGGGUGAGUAACACGUGGGUGACCUGCCCUCAGCUCUGGGAUAAGCCUGGGAAACUGGGUCUAAUACUGGAUAUGACUCCACGGUGCAUGUCGUGGGGUGGAAAGCCUUGUGCGGCUGAGGAUGGGCCCGCGGCCUAUCAGCUUGUUGGUGGGGUGANGGCCUACCAAGGCGACGACGGGUAGCCGGCCUGAGAGGGCGACCGGCCACACUGGGACUGAGACACGGCCCAGACUCCUACGGGAGGCAGCAGUGGGGAAUCUUGCGCAAUGCGCGAAAGCGUGACGCAGCAACGCCGCGUGGGGGAAGAA
rnacentral:rRNA from 1 species